CACGUAGGGCGCGAGCGUUGUCCGGAAUUAUUGGGCGUAAAGAGCUCGUAGGCGGCCUGUUACGUCCGCUGUGAAAGCCCGGGGCUUAACCCCGGGUCGGCAGUGGAUACGGGCAGGCUAGAGGUAGGUAGGGGAGAAUGGAAUUCCCGGUGUAGCGGUGAAAUGCGCAGAUAUCGGGAGGAACACCGGUGGCGAAGGCGGUUCUCUGGGCCUUACCUGACGCUGAGGAGCGAAAGCGUGGGGAGCGAACAGG
rnacentral:rRNA from 1 species